CCUACGGGAGGCAGCUGUCGAGAAUCAUUCACAAUGGGGGAAACCCUGAUGGUGCGACGCCGCGUGGGGGAAUGAAGGUCUUCGGAUUGUAAACCCCUGUCAUGUGGGAGCAAAUUAAAAAGAUAGUACCACAAGAGGAAGAGACGGCUAACUCUGUGCCAGCAGCCGCGGUAAUACAGAGGUCUCAAGCGUUGUUCGGAAUCACUGGGCGUAAAGGGUGCGUAGGCUGUUUCGUAAGUCGUGUGUGAAAGGCGCGGGCUCAACCCGCGGACGGCACAUGAUACUGCGAGACUAGAGUAAUGGAGGGGGAACCGGAAUUCUCGGUGUAGCAGUGAAAUGCGUAGAUAUCGAGAGGAACACUCGUGGCGAAGGCGGGUUCCUGGACAUUAACUGACGCUGAGGCACGAAGGCCAGGGGAGCGAAAGGGAUUAGAUACCCUGGUAGUC
rnacentral:rRNA from 1 species